CAGUAGCCGCGGUAAUACGAACCGUCCGAACGUUAUUCGGAAUCACUGGGCUUAAAGCGCGUGUAGGCGGGCCGGCACGUCCGAUGCUGAAAUCCCCCGGCUUAACCGGGGAAGUGGCACGGAUACGACCGGCCUGGAGGGAGGUAGGGGGGCCUGGAACUUCCGGUGGAGCGGUGAAAUGCGUUGAGAUCGGAAGGAACGCCCGUGGCGAAAGCGAGGCCCUGGACCUUUUCUGACGCUGAGACGCGAAAGCCAGGGGAGCGAACGGGAUUAGAGACCCCCGUAGUCCCUGUCUCUUAUU
rnacentral:rRNA from 1 species